rnacentral:rRNA from 1 species
UACAGAGGUCUCAAGCGGUGUUCGGAUUCAUUGGGCGUAAAGGGUGCGUAGGUGGCAGGGUAAGUCGGGUGUGAAAUCCCGGGGCUCAACCCCGGAACUGCACUCGAUACUGCCUUGCUCGAGUACUGGAGAGGAGACUGGAAUUUACGGUGUAGCAGUGAAAUGCGUAGAUAUCGUAAGGAAGACCAGUGGCGAAGGCGAGUCUCUGGACAGUUACUGACACUGAGGCACCAAGGCCAGGGGAGCAAACGGG